rnacentral:tRNA from 1 species
GCAGGCGUGGCCAAAUUGGAUUAAGGCAUCUGGCUACGAACCAGAAGAUUGCAGGUUCGAGUCCUGCCGUCUGCA